AACAGUUUGCACGGAUUUAUAUUUUUUGGUUCCUGCCGGCAGGGACUAUAGCGGAGGGCUUUUAUAUUAACGAGUGAUUAAUGCGGUGGCAAUGGACCAAUCAAAAACCAUUGUUUUCAAAAUAUUUUGCAUUUGCUAGUAUUCGCAUCCGUGAACUUGUGUAUUUUUAAAAAAAAAUGUUUUAAGAAAAUUGUUUGGCAUUUAAUGGUUGGCUUUGUUUACGGCGUGCAAAGGCCUGCCCGUUUCUCAAUGAGAGAGAACGCACGAGCCCAAAGGAAGUUGCAAGGGCCACCAAAACAAAUGUUUGCAGACCGCAACUAGUUAAAACAUGGCUGCCCAAAAAAAUCCACGGAUUGAAGGCAACAUUUGGCAGUAUGGAUUCGCGCUACACAGUUGCCGAUUAGGGUUCCCAUUUGCUAUGACAGACUGCCACGGGGGCAUAGACUGGUGGUGAUUAGGGUUCUAGUUUUGCCAUUAUUAAAUUUCAGAGGUUGCGGUUUUCUCAGUCAUUUCUCGCUGAUAACACAGAGGGACACAGAACAGCAAUGUAUGGCAUGCUUUGAUGCAUGAGGCAAGCCACUGUAACACCUGGGCAACACACAACAGCCCCACUCCAUGCAUUGCAGUUAGAUAGGAUUCAAAAUUGAGGCGUGCUAGAUGCUAGUCAAAGUGCUCAACUGUUUAAGGCGCGGGCAAUUGAAAAUAAGAAAAAGUUUUCUCUUUUAACACGGUGCUCAGUUUCUUCUAUUUUAUCAGUGAAAUAUUUUUAUUUUUAUUUUUUCGGAUUCGCUCAUGUCAUUCGGCUCUAUUUAUAUGAUUAUUUUCAUUAUUUGAUGAGGGUAUCUUAGUGUAUUCGCAUGUAUUUAUAUGCAAUUAUUUGGAGUUCAGUUUGAUCUUCAAAAUUCAUUCAUUUUCUGCAGUUUUACAAUUGAAUAGAGUCACACAAAGGAUAUAU